rnacentral:rRNA from 1 species
UACAGAGGUCUCAAGCGUUUGUUCGGAUUCAUUGGGCGUAAAGGGUGCGUAGGUGGCGCGGUAAGUCGGGUGUGAAAUUUCGGAGCUUAACUCCGAAACUGCAUUUGAUACUGCGGUGCUUGAGGACUGGAGAGGAGACUGGAAUUUACGGUGUAGCAGUGAAAUGCGUAGAGAUCGUAAGGAAGACCAGUGGCGAAGGCGGGUCUCUGGACAGUUCCUGAC